rnacentral:tRNA from 1 species
CGGGGCGUAGCGCAGUCUGGUAGCGCACUCGUUUGGGGUGCGAGUGGUCGCUGGUUCAAAUCCAGUCGCCCCGACCA